GGGGACAGCUGGGCCAUCCUGCCGGACACGGAGACCCCUCUGGAAGGUGCAGAUGCGGGGUAGGGUGCAGAGUCGCCCUUGGGUGCCGCCCCAGGACCUCGACAACUUCGACCUCGCGGGCAUGCGCAGGGUUGGGAGAUGCUGCACCGAUACGUUUUGUUGAGAAUGGACAAAGUAACAUUGCUUGGCUUCAGAGCCAAGACACAAAGACAGCAGGGCGUCCACUCAUCUUCCUAAUCUUCGAGCACUUCCUCUUGGGAUUCAGCCACCAUUUGAUGAGGAAUCCCAGGCCACAAAAGAGGCCAGACGUGGAUGUUCCCAACAACAGCCAGCAUCACAGCCAGAUCCGUGAGUGACAGAGGCCUUCAGAUGAUUCCGGCCCCCACAGAGCUCCCAGACGUGGCCACCUGCCCUUGCUGGGCUCUGACUGAAUGCUUGGCACACAGAAACCAUGAGAGAAUAAAUUACUGUCGCUGCUCUCAGCCACUAAGUUUUGGGGUGGUCUGUUAUGCAACCAUAGACAGCAAAUGCACAGUCAAAGAAGGUAAAAGUGGUUUGUUUUCUUUUAAAGUAUUCUUAUUCAUUCACCGUCUAAAUUCCCUGUAACUUCAGCCCAGCUGUGUAAAAAAAAUGUUACUAAAUUCACCUAUUUUUUCCUAUUCAUUAACAACUUAAGCCAAAGUUGGAGCAUACAAUAAAUAGGGAGGCUGUUGCUCUCCCCAGCUGUAGCCAGGCACCCCUCGCCUCCUCUUUGCCAGUGCUUGUGCUGAGAAUCGUCUUCUAUGUGAAGGCUGGAGAGGAAACUACGUCUUGAAAUCAUUUGUCAAAAGAUUGAACAAAUCUUUUGAACCCGGGGAAGAGAUCUGAGCUGGGACACAGUCAAGCAGAAAGGAAACGUGAAGGCAGGCUGGAAACAUCACAUCAGGAUGUCUUCCAACCAGACCCCUGAGUCAGAGUCCAGGGGCCCCGAGAUGGGUUGGUUUGUCUGCUGUGUGCUGUGCCUCACAAUCACCUAAGGCAGCUUUCAGCCCUGAGAGAUUUUGGCUUCCUUACUUCAUGGAUCUGGAAGGGGCCUGGGCACCAGCAUCUUCCUUAAAUCCCUCCAGUGCAUCUCAAGCGCAGCCAAGGUCGAGAAUCACGGAAUUCCUAGCCCAGUAGCUCCCCUCUCUCCAAAACACCUGAGAGCUAGAAGGCAUCUUGUUGGCAGCGGUGUACUUCCUCAA